rnacentral:rRNA from 1 species
GACGAACGCUGGCGGCGUGCCUAACACAUGCAAGUCGAGCGGAGCCAAUUAGCAGAUCCCUUCGGGGUGACGUUGAGGAAGCUUAGCGGCGGACGGGUGAGUAACGCGUGAGUAACCUGCCCAUAAGAGAGGGAUAACACAGAGAAAUUUGUGCUAAUACCUCAUAUUGAGUUAAGAUCGCAUGAUUUUUACUUGAAAGAUUUAUCGCUUAUGGAUGGACUCGCGUCUGAUUAGCUAGUUGGUGAGGUAAUGGCUCACCAAGGCGACGAUCAGUAGCCGAACUGAGAGGUUGAUCGGCCACAUUGGGACUGAGACACGGCCCAGACUCCUACGGGAGGCAGCAGUGGGGGAUAUUGGCACAAUGGGGGAAACCCUGAUGCAGCAACGCCGCGUGAAGGAAGAAGGUUUUCGGAUUGUAAACCUCUGUCUUUGGUGACGAAGAAGUGACGGUA